GAACCAAAAUCUGCUCACCCCUACCUUUCUAGGGUGAUUUCUUUAUCUCACGGCCCACCCAACGAGGACCAUAGACCAUCGGCGACCGCAACCACCAACUUCAUUGAUCGAAGCUAUAGUGCGUGGCCCACAUGAGUAGAAACUGUUUUUCGCCCUAUGCCAUGCACUGGCGAGUGGUGGCAUGUCUGCCAGAGUUUGCAUCACCAACUUCUUCUCUGGACAUUGCCCUGACAUCCUUAGUCUAGAUAUAGGAGCUAUUGUUUGGUCCAAGGUAUUUUCAGAUGCUCUACCUCAGGUUCGGGCAAGGUUUAGUUUUGGGCAACUAGGUUCUAUUUUGAGAACUUUUUUCUUUUUAUUUGAGUUUUCUUUAGUUGGGGUAUUUGCUUUGCUAAGGAUUGGGUACUGGUAUUUGGUGAAAUAUUGGGUAGCUGUUUUAUUGUUAGAGCUGUGGGUUUGCUUUUACUUCUGAGUAUUUUGGGUUCUAAGUGCUCCAGACCUAUUUCUGGAUUUUCUUGGCUCUCUAAUUUGGGUGGUUUAGCAAGUUUUGGCUUUCAAGACUCACUAUCAGAGCUCGCUUUUCAAUUUUGUGGUGAUUGGUCACUACAAUUCUUAAAUUCCUUGCUGUUUUGAGUUUUGGUGCCUCUUAGUGUUGCUUCUCUGUUGGUUGAGGUUGGGAUUUUGUUUCUUUGUUUUCUAUUGCUG
rnacentral:misc_RNA from 1 species